rnacentral:rRNA from 1 species
GUGAACGCUGGCGGUAGGCCUAACACAUGCAAGUCGAACGGCAGCACAGUAAGAGCUUGCUCUUACGGGUGGCGAGUGGCGGACGGGUGAGGAAUACAUCGGAAUCUACUUUUUCGUGGGGGAUAACGUAGGGAAACUUACGCUAAUACCGCAUACGACCUACGGGUGAAAGCAGGGGAUCUUCGGACCUUGCGCGAUUGAAUGAGCCGAUGUCGGAUUAGCUAGUUGGCGGGGUAAAGGCCCACCAAGGCGACGAUCCGUAGCUGGUCUGAGAGGAUGAUCAGCCACACUGGAGCUGAGACACGGUCCAGACUCCUACGGGAGGCAGCAGUGGGGAAUAUUGGACAAUGGGCGCAAGCCUGAUCCAGCCAUACCGCGUGGGUGAAGAAGGCCUUCGGGUUGUAAAGCCCUUUUGUUGGGAAAGAAAAGCAGCAGGUUAAUACCCCGCUGUUCUGACGGUACCCAAAGAAUAAGCACCGGCUAACUUCGU